rnacentral:rRNA from 1 species
UACGGGGGGGGCAAGCGUUGUUCGGAAUUACUGGGCGUAAAGGGUGCGUAGGCGGCUUUCUAAGUUGGAUGUGAAAACUAUGGGCUCAACCCAUAGCCUGCAUCCAAAACUGGAGAGCUUGGGUUCUGGAGGGGAAAGCGGAAUUCCUGGUGUAGCGGUGAAAUGCGUAGAUAUCAGGAGGAACACCGGUGGCGAAGGCGGCUUCCUGGUCUGCAACUGACGCUGUGGCGCGAAAGCUAGGGGAGCAAACGGG